GACACCACUCGCCCCGUCCCCCUUUUUUCCUUCUUCUCGAGGGAGAGAGGGGGGGCGCCGGGGGCGGGACUCUGCGUGUUCCGGGAGCCGCGAGCCUCCGAGUGCCACCGAACCUCGUGAACGAGACUCCUCCCAUCAUUGUUAGCAUGUGCGACUGCCGGGCAGGGACUUAAUUGGGCGGGAGUUGUUGACGGCGUGUUGCUCGCUCGAGCGACACGACUCUCGACUCCCAAAAACCCCCGAGUUUCGUGUUGUCGGUGGUGUUUUUACCGUACAUCAUUUAGUGAGAGGAUCAUCAGUUAGUUCCGGUUGCCUAAUCACCCACUUACUCGAUAGGUAGGUGAAGAACUACCCAACUUUCG
rnacentral:misc_RNA from 1 species